AAAAAGCAAAGGAAGUUGGGGGAGAUCAGUGGGGAACACUGGAAUGAUCAGAAUUCUGUCAUGCUCCAUAUAAGGCAGCUUAUUUUUUAAUUAAAAGGAAAAAGUCAGUGUCUCACCAGCUGCUUUGGUCAUGAGCAAGUGAAAUUCUGCAGCCAAUCGUGCUCCCUAAGGACCAAGAGGGUGUUACAGGAAAAGCAAGAACUAGUUCUGGCCUCUUGGAGGAGCAAGACCCUUCUGCCACAGAGCACCCCGAAGUGAAGCAAUUGAGAAAGUGUCCAUUAUCAAAACUGUGACCUUAAACAUCAGGGGGUGUUGGUGUGUCCUGGGCGCAGGGAAUGCACCUCAUCCACCAGCUCCUCUUGGGAUUUUAAUUCCUAUUUUACACAGCACCAGGGGCUCUCAUUGCAGCAUUCCUACAGACAGGCUACAUCCUGCAUGGAAACUGGGGAAGGAGAAGGAUGCAGGUUCUUCUGGGGAAUCACAGCAGGAGUGUAAAAUGGCAGGAAAGCUCUGAGCACAGGGAGCUCCUGCAAUCCAGAGGAUUAUUCUAAAGCCCAGGGGCUUGAGGGAAGUUAGAGACCCUGCCUUGAGCCCAGGAAGAUUCCAGCUGGGAGCUGUGGCAAUACCUGAUCAUUGUGCUAAGCUCAGGAAGCAGCAGGAAUGGAGGAAAACAAGCCAGAUGUGCAAACCUUCCCUGUUUUUUUAAAUAACAAUUCCAUAUGAAAGCGCCGCAGGCUCUGGCGCCGCUGGCACGACCCGCUGGUGAUCUGAGCCAGAAGUGAUGAAAGCAGAGCUCGUUGCAAGAGUCAACAGUUUCACUGCUCUUGUGCAAUGGGAAUUGGAGGAGAGUCAGGAUUUCGGGAGGCCAGUCUCAGGCAGCAUGGCACAUUUCAUUCCAAACUUUGAAUAUUGGGAUUUAGAUCUCAAAAUGGAUUCUGGAAUUAAAUGGAUUCUGAAAUUAGUGCUGGAGGUAGAUCAUAGAAUCGCAGAAUCCCAGCAUGGUUUGGGUUGGAAGGGACCUUAAAGCCCAUCCAGUUCCAACCCCUGCCAUGGGCAGGGACACCUCCCACUAGCCCAGGUUGCUCCAAGCUCCUUCCAACCUGGCCUUGGACACUUCCAGGGCUGGGGCAGCCACAGCUUCUCUGGGCAACCUGUGCCAGGGCCUCCCCACCCUUAUAGGGAAAAAUUUCUCCCCAGUACCCCAAGUAACCUUGCCCUUUCUCAGCAUGAAGCCAUUCCCCCUUGUCCUGGCACUGCAGGCCCUUGUAAAUAGUCUCUGUCCACUUUUCUUCUCGGCUCCCCUCACACAUUGGGAGGCCACUGGUGAGAUGAUCUACUCUGGUCUGUAUUCCCUGGAACAUUUCCAUGGUGACUUUGGAAAUUUUAGUAUCAGGAGUUGCCUCCAAAACUGAAGGGAUCAGACACUGUGUGUGAAUGAGCACUCAGGGGGAAAAGGAGGAAAAAAAGAGCAGGGCUGGGCUCUUUGUGGUGCUUCCUGGUGCUUCUGGAUUCACCUGCCACUGAGCACGUGGACCCAGCAGCAGCAGGACUGUGGUGUGGGGCCCUUGGGUCACUGGCAGAGCUGAUCUGCCAUCAGCUGUGCCCUGAACAGUGUCAGCCAGGCUCGUGGGGGCCAGGAAGUGGCACU